rnacentral:rRNA from 1 species
GAUGAACGCUGGCGGCGUGCCUAAUACAUGCAAGUCGAGCGAACAGAUGAGGAGCUUGCUCCUCUGACGUUAGCGGCGGACGGGUGAGUAACACGUGGAUAACCUACCUAUAAGACUGGGAUAACUUCGGGAAACCGGAGCUAAUACCGGAUAAUAUAUUGAACCGCAUGGUUCAAUAGUGAAAGACGGUUUUGCUGUCAUUUAUAAAUGGAUCCGCGCCGCAUUAGCUAGUUGGUAAGGUAACGGCUUACCAAGGCAACGAUGCGUAGCCGACCUGAGAGGGUGAUCGGCCACACUGGAACUGAGACACGGUCCAGACUCCUACGGGAGGCAGCAGUAGGGAAUCUUCCGCAAUGGGCGAAAGCCUGACGGAGCAACGCCGCGUGAGUGAUGAAGGUCUUCGGAUCGUAAUACUCUGUUAUUAGGGAAGAACAAAUGUGUAAGUAACUAUGCACGUCUUGACGGUACCUAAUCAGAAAGCCACGGCUAACUACGUG